rnacentral:rRNA from 1 species
UCCUGACUGACCGAUAGUGAACCAGUACCGUGAGGGAAAGGCGAAAAGAACCCCGGCGAGGGGAGUGAAAAAGAACCUGAAACCGUGUACGUACAAGCAGUGGGAGCACGCUUAGGCGUGUGACUGCGUACCUUUUGUAUAAUGGGUCAGCGACUUAUAUUCUGUAGCAAGGUUAACCGAAUAGGGGAGCCGAAGGGAAACCGAGUCUUAACUGGGCGUUAAGUUGCAGGGUAUAGACCCGAAACCCGGUGAUCUAGCCAUGGGCAGGUUGAAGGUUGGGUAACACUAACUGGAGGACCGAACCGACUAAUGUUGAAAAAUUAGCGGAUGACUUGUGGCUGGGGGUGAAAGGCCAAUCAAACCGGGAGAUAGCUGGUUCUCCCCGAAAGCUAUUUAGGUAGCGCCUCGUGAAUUCAUCUCCGGGGGUAGAGCACUGUUUCGGCAAGGGGGUCAUCCCGACUUACCAACCCGAUGCAAACUGCGAAUACCGGAGAAUGUUAUCACGGGAGACACACGGCGGGUGCUAACGUCCGUCGUGAAGAGGGAAACAACCCAGACCGCCAGCUAAGGUCCCAAAGUCAUGGUUAAGUGGGAAACGAUGUGGGAAGGCCCAGACAGCCAGGAUGUUGGCUUAGAAGCAGCCAUCAUUUAAAGAAAGCGUAAUAGCUCACUGGUCGAGUCGGCCUGCGCGGAAGAUGUAACGGGGCUAAACCAUGCACCGAAGCUGCGGCAGCGACGCUUAUGCGUUGUUG